ACUUUUGCAUCGAUUUUCAUUAUAACAUUGUGUCUUGUUUUAUUGUUGUGUUUCGCGAUAUGAUUUUCCACGCAGCUCGAGAAUAACUUUCUCCCAGAAAUUGUAAGUGAAUUCUCAUCGAAAUAUUGAACAGACAUUGAACAGAAAUACAUAGGGCGUACAGUUACUUUCCCAGGUACACAUGAAACUGCUCACCAAAGCCAACGGGUUCUUCAAGUGUGACAAGCAGCAAUACGUUCGAAAUGACGGAUCAGCUCAAAUCCAACUUGCUGGAACACCAGAUCGAUGUGGAGAAGAUUUUCAACUGUGAGUUCUGUUCGAAUACCUUCAAAUCGAAUGAAGAUCUGAAGCGCCAUCGCAGAUCGCACACUGGUGAACGCCCGUUCAAGUGUGACACCUGUCCAAAACCGUUUACCCAGCUUUCGAAUCUACGUGCCCAUACAAAGAUUCACGAGAAGAAGUGAACCGCGUAUGGGUGUAAAAUUUGUCUGCUGGAGCUUGACUCGCUGGAAGCGCAUAGUUUGCAUCUCAAAACACAUCAGUUCCAGCUUUUUGAGUUAUGUAAAGAAUUGAGACAAUAGUUUGUGAUUGGACGAAAGUGUCUCGAUAAGAAUCUUUGUUAACCCGUAUCCGUACUAUAUACAUAUGCCAAUAUACACAAGUGUUAUUAGAUGUUUGAAACAUGUACUAUUGUGAUCGUAUUAGGGAAAUAAUUGUUGUUGUAUAUAACAACGAUAAUACAUGAAACAAGUUUUCUUCAAUCGAUCUUCAAAAUUAUAACAUAAUUUUAUUAACGAAAAAAACACAUAAUAAAUACAUAUUCGGCUAACCACUGUUGCAUACAUUUUUUUGUACGGCAAGCCAUCGUAACGUUCUUUUCUCUAUCGAUAUCGAACGGUUAGGACUAAAGGAGGAUUCAUAUAUUCAAAACAUUUGGAAGGGUUACCAAGUUGUUCAACUUAUCACAAUCAUUUAUAGUUUCUCAAACAAAAAAGAUUAGCAUUGAAAUCCCACCUAAGAACGCUAUCGUAACAUACCAUAUAACAGCAUCUUUCGACAGCAAAACGAUUGAAUUAUUGUUCUA